AGGACGAACGCUGGCGGCGUGCUUAACACAUGCAAGUCGAACGGAAAGGCCCUUUCGGGGGUGCUCGAGUGGCGAACGGGUGAGUAACACGUGGGUGAUCUGCCCUGCACUUUGGGAUAAGCCUGGGAAACUGGGUCUAAUACCGAAUACACCCUGCUGGUCGCAUGGCCUGGUGGGGGAAAGCUUUUGCGGUGUGGGAUGGGCCCGCGGCCUAUCAGCUUGUUGGUGGGGUGAUGGCCUACCAAGGCGACGACGGGUAGCCGGCCUGAGAGGGUGUCCGGCCACACUGGGACUGAGAUACGGCCCAGACUCCUACGGGAGGCAGCAGUGGGGAAUAUUGCGCAAUGGGCGGAAGCCUGACGCAGCGACGCCGCGUGGGGAUGAAGGCCUUCGGGUUGUAAACCCCUUUCACCAGGAGCGAAUCAAGACGGUACCUGGGGAAGAAGCGCCGGCUAACUACGUGCCAGCAGCCGC
rnacentral:rRNA from 1 species